CUCUUCAGUCCCUGGUCCUGGGAUUACAGGCCUGAGCCACCAAGUAACAGCUCCCAGCUGUUGCUACCUCCAAGAUACAUCCUGGAAAGGACGCUACCCAGUCAUUUUAUCUACCCCAACCGUGGUUAAAGUGGCUGGAUUGGAAUCUUGGAUACAUCACACUCGAGUCAAACCCUGGAUAGUGCCAGAGGAACCCGAAAAUCCAGGAGACAUUGCUAGCUAUUCCUGUGAACCUCUAGAGGAUCUGCGCCUGCUCUUCAAGAGACAACCGUGAGGAAAGUAACUAGAAUCGUAGAUCCCCAUGGCCCUCCCUUCUCAUAUUUUUCUCUUUACUGUUCUCUUACCCCCUUUCACUCUCACUGCACCUUAUCCAUGCCACUGUACUGUCAGAAGCUCCCCUUACCAAGAGCUUCUAUGAACAAUGUAGCUUCCCAGAAAUAUUGACGCCCCAUCGUAUAGGAUUUUUUCUAAAGGAAACCCCACUUUCACCGCCCACACCCGUAUGCCCCACAACUGCUAUAACUCUGCUACUCUUUGCAUGCAUGCAAAUACUCAUUAUUGGAGAGGGAAAAUAAUUAAUCCUAGUUGUCCUGGAGGGUUUGGAGCCACUGUCUGUUGGACUUACUUCACCCAUACUGGUAUGUCUGAUGGGAGUGGAGUUCAAGAUCAGGCAAGAGAAAAACACGUAAAGGAAGUAAUCUCCCAGCUGACGCAGGUACAUAGAUAGCACCCCUAUCCCCUACAAAGGACUAGACCUCUCAAAGCUACAUGAAACCCUCCAUACCCAUACUCACCUGGUAAGCCUAUUUAAUACCACCCUCAUUGGGCUCCAUGAAGCCUUGGCCCAAAACCCUACUAACUGUUGGAUGUGCCUCCCCCUGCACUCAGGCCAUAUAUUUCAAUCCCUGUAUCUUUAACCUCCUUGUUAAGUUUGUCUCUUCCAGAAUCGAAGCUGUAAAACUACAAAUGGUUCUUCAAAUGGAGCCCCAGAUGCAAUCCGUGACUAAGAUCUACCACAGACCCCUGGACCGGCCUCCUAGCCUAUGCUCUGAUGUUGAUGACAUCAAAGGCAACCAUCCCAAGGAAAUAUCAACUGCACGACCCCUGCUACACCCCAAUUCAGCAUGAAGCAGUUAGAGUGGUCAUCGGCCAACCUCCCCAACAGCACUUGGGUUUUCCUGUUGAGAGGGGGGACUGAGAGAUAGGACUAGCUGGAUUUCCUAGGCCGACUUAGAAUUCUUAAGCCUAGCUGGGGAUGGUGACUGCACCCACCUUUAAACACGGGGCUUGUAACUCAGCUCACACCCGACCAAUCAGGUAGUAAAGAGAGCUCACUAAAAUACCAAUUAGGCUAAAGGCAGGAGGUAAAGAAAUAGUCAAUCAUCUAUCACCUGAGAGCAUAGGGGGAGGGACAAUGACCGGGAUAUAAGCCAGGCAUUUGAGCCAGCAGUGGCAACCCCCUUUGGGUCCCCUCCCAUUGUAUGGGAGCUCUGUUUUCACUCUAUUAAAUCUUUUUUUAAAUUUAUUAUUAUUAUUAUACUUAAAGUUUUAGGGUACAUGUGCACA
rnacentral:lncRNA from 10 species